CUUCAGGAGCCUUUACUGUGGUUGUAGCCUAGUGGUUAGAGCGUUGGACUAGUAACCGGAAGGUUGCAAGAUCAAAUCCUUGAGCUGACAAGGACAGGAAUAGGACUAUCCAGGACACCUACAGCCUCUGGUGUUCACAGAAAGGCCCAAGAAGAUCAUCAAGGACCUCAGCCAUCCGAGCCACGGUCUGUUCACCAUGCUACUAGAAGGUGAAGGCAGUACAACUGCAUCAACGCUGGGACCGAGAGACUGAGAAACAGCUUCUAUCUCCAGUCACCACCUAGCCGGCCUCCACUCAGUACCCUGACCUGAAUCUUAGUCACUGUUACUAGCCGGCUACCACCCGGUACUCUACUCUGCACCUUAGAGACUGUUGCCCUAUGUACAUAGUCAUUGAAUACUGGUCACUUUAAUAAUGUUUACAUUACUGUUUUACCCACUUCAUAUGUAUAUACUGUAUUCUAGUUCAUCCUAUAUAACUACUGCUGUCCACUUCAUAUGUAUAUACUGUAUUCUAGUUCAUCCUAUAUAACUACUGCUGUCCACUUCAUAUGUAUAUACUGUAUUCUAGUUCAUCCUAUAUAACUACUACUGUCCACUUCAUAUGUAUAUACUGUAUUCUAGUCAAGGAUCAUCCUAUAUAACUACUGCUGUCUACUUCAUAUGUAUAUACUGUAUUCUAGUUCAUCCUAUAUAACUACUGCUGUCCACUUCAUAUGUAUAUACUGUAUUCUAGUUCAUUCUAUAUAACUACUGCUGUCCACUUCAUAUGUAUAUACUGUAUUCUAGUCAAGGAUCAUCCUAUACAACUACUGCUGUCCACUUCAUAUGUAUCUACUGUAUUGUAGUCAAGGAUCAUCCUAUAUAACUACUGCUGUCUACACCUUUUCUAUUCAUAUAAUGUCGAAAAUGUCUAUACACACCAUUAUAUACAUAGAAAUGUACAUUCCAGACUCUGACAUUGCUCGUUCUGAUGUUUCUUAAUUUCUUUAUUUAGAUUUAGGGUAUUUAUGUAUGUUUGUUUUGUAUUAGCACUGUUGGUGCUAGAAACAUCAGCAUUUCACUGCACCUGCAGAAACAUGUCUACACGACC
ensembl:lncRNA